rnacentral:rRNA from 1 species
CAGCAGCCGCGGGAAUACAGAGGGUGCGAGCGUUAAUCGGAUUUACUGGGCGUAAAGCGUGCGUAUGCGGCUUUUUAAGUCGGAUGUGAAAUCCCUGAGCUUAACUUAGGAAUUGCAUUCGAUACUGGGAAGCUAGAGUAUGGGAGAGGAUGGUAGAAUUCCAGGUGUAGCGGUGAAAUGCGUAGAGAUCUGGAGGAAUACCGAUGGCGAAGGCAGCCAUCUGGCCUAAUACUGACGCUGAGGUACGAAAGCAUGGGGAGCAAACAGGAUUAGAUACCCCGGUAGUCCCUGUCUCUUAUAC